rnacentral:misc_RNA from 1 species
UAGCUUGUCCACACAAGUACUUGACCAAAGCUCUUUGAUCAACUCAACAAUUCCUCCUUGAACUUCAAGUAUGGCAACCAAGAAGAAAGGAGGAAGAGCAUAUUGUUUAUCAAUUUGUUUCUAAUUGAAAGUAGGGAGAAACAAUUUCUCAAAGCUUGAUUCAAGAGUGACAACUUCUAAUGUCUCUUGACUUCAAGCUAUUCAAGGAUGAAGAUGAAG